UUCGCAAUGCCCGAAAGGGUGACGAAGCGACGCCGCGUGAGUGAGGAAGGCCUUCGGGUUGUAAAGCCCUGUCAGGAGUUAAGAAAUGUAGACUCGCUAAUAUCGGGUCUAUUUGACAAAGGCUCCAAAGGAAGCCACGGCUAACUCUGUGCCAGCAGCCGCGGUAAUACAGAGGUGGCAAGCGUUGUUCGGAAUUAUUGGGCGUAAAGUGCACGUAGGCGGCUAUGUAAGUCGGUUGUGAAAGCCUUCCGCUCAACGGAAGAACAGCAUCCGAUACUGCAUGGCUUGAGUGCGGGAGGGGAGAGUGGAACUUCUGGUGGAGCGGUGAAAUGCGUAGAUAUCAGAAGGAACGCCGGCGGCGAAAGCGACUCUCUGGACCGAAACUGACGCUGAGUGUGCGAAAGCUAGGGGAGCAAACGGGAUUAGAUACCCCGGUAGUCCUAGCCGUAAACGAUGGGCACUAAGUAGAGGGGUUUU
rnacentral:rRNA from 1 species